rnacentral:lncRNA from 1 species
GUGAAACCAUGCCUAGCCAACGUCGUGGUUCUCCUUAUUCUCUGCACGUACCAUUAUGCAUUCUCUCUCUCUAGCCUUUUAGUUAUGAGCUUCUUUGUCAUACUACGUGCCGCACGCACAAAACCCACCUCGCUGUCGAUCUGGUAUGUUCCCCCUACUCUCUCUCUCUCCCAAGCUCCUUUCUCCCUCUUCAUGACUCACUCUCUCUCCCUACUUAAUUGACUCUGUUUCUCUUCCUUCUUCUUGAUUUCUUAUCUUUUUUUAAUAGGCAAAGGGAUUGAGAGUCCUGCAUCCCUCUUCCUCCUUCUUUGGUGUGUAGGUCUAGGCUUUUUCUUCUUCUUUUUCAGAUGCCAGAGGCAUAAACGCCUUUGGUUGCCCUCUUUUUUUUCCUAUUUCUUUCAUCAAAACAAAACUAUUUUAGAGUUUUCCAAAAUGAUGAUGUUUUGGCCCUUCUUACUCCUAAUACCCAACUUCAAAAUGACAUCGUUUUAAGCGUGGGUGUAACGGCCCCAAAAAUUUAAAUGAAAUACAUGUAUUAAAAAUGUCAAAUGCGGAAGCGUAAUAAAAAUUUUGAUUAACAUCCCUUACACAAUAACCAAAACGUACUCAAAACAUGAAAUUACAAACUAACUAAGAGAGAUACUCGAAAUAAAAACUAUAAAUAUAACUAUAAAGUCUUUAGGUGUCCCCUUCGCCGUCUUCCUGUGGAACGGGCUCGGGAACAACGUCUUCCUGAUCUGAAAUAGUUAAAUAAGGGAUGAGCUACACCAGCCCAGUAAAGACAUCAC